CGAGCAAUAGCUCAGUGGUAGAGCUCCCGCUUCAUAUGCGGGAUCCGCAGAUAUUGCAGUUCUUUUUAAAAUAGUACGAAAAGUUGUUCAU
rnacentral:tRNA from 1 species